GACGAACGCUGGCGGCGCGCUUAACACAUGCAAGUCGAACGGAAAGGCCUGCUUUCCCUUGUGGAUUGCGGGUACUCGAGUGGCGAACGGGUGAGUAACACGUGAGUGAUCUGCCCCCAACUUGGGUAUAAGCCUGGGAAACUGGGUCUAAUUCCCGAUAGGACUGCAGGGUGGCGCCUGUGGUGGAAAACGAUUUUCUAGUGGUUGGGGAUGAGCUCGCGGCCUAUCAGCUUGUUGGUGGGGUAAUGGCCUACCAAGGCGGCGACGGGUAGCCGGCCUGAGAGGGUGGACGGCCACAUUGGGACUGAGAUACGGCCCAGACUCCUACGGGAGGCAGCAGUGGGGAAUAUUGCACAAUGGGCGGAAGCCUGAUGCAGCGACGCCGCGUGGGGGAUGACGGCCUUCGGGUUGUAAACUCCUUUCGACCGCGAGGAAGCCACCUGGUUGGAAGGGUGGUGACGGUAGUGGUAGAAGAAGCACCGGCUAACUACGUG
rnacentral:rRNA from 1 species